CCGCAUCGUACGGAGUGGGGUUCAAGCAAAGUGCCCUAAUCUUGGAGGCCAAACCCUGGGCUGCGGCCAUGAACAAUUUAGAGAGAGAAAGUGCAGCUCCAAGAAUGUAUGCGUCCGGCAAGGUGAUUGAAGAAGUAGAAGCUCUAACAUGAUGAGAGAAAAACCUUACUUUUGGGAGGCUUAACUAUGAGAGGGAAAAACCCCAAUUAAAGAACUUGGCAAGACGCUAGUGUACCUAGUUAAGGCAAAGCAACAAAGAAAACUGAAGAAGAAGCCAUGGCCAUUGUUGCGUCUCUCUCUCUAACUGGGGUCCCUAAGAAGUAGGCCAUUGCUCCGUUUUGGCCGUAUGUAAAUUUCCCUCAA
rnacentral:lncRNA from 1 species